CUACGGAGGGUGCAAGCGUUAUCCGGAAUCAUUGGGUUUAAAGGGUCCGCAGGCGGAUUAAUAAGUCAGUGGUGAAAUCCUCUCGCUCAACGAGAGAACUGCCAUUGAAACUGUUAGUCUUGAAUUCGGUCGAAGUAGGCGGAAUGUGUCAUGUAGCGGUGAAAUGCAUAGAUAUGACACAGAACGCCGAUAGCGAAGGCAGCUUACUAGACCUGGAUUGACGCUCAUGGACGAAAGCGUGGGGAGCGAACAGGAUUAGAAACCCCAGUAGUCC
rnacentral:rRNA from 1 species